rnacentral:rRNA from 1 species
UACAGAGGGUGCUAGCGUUAAUCGGAUUUAUUGGGCGUAAAGCGUGCGUAGGCGGCUAUUUAAGUCUGGUGUUAAAGCUAGGGGCUCAACCCCUGUGAUGCACUGGAUACUGGGUAGCUUGAGUGCGGUAGGGGAAGGUGGAAUUCCGAGUGUAGCGGUGAAAUGCGUAGAUAUUCGGAAGAACACCGGUGGCGAAGGCGACCUUCUGGGCCGCAACUGACGCUGAGGCACGAAAGCCUGGGGAGCGAACGGG